rnacentral:rRNA from 1 species
AUUGAACGCUGGCGGCAGGCCUAACACAUGCAAGUCGAAUGGUAACAGGAAACAGCUUGCUGUUUCGCUGACGAGUGGCGGACGGGUGAGUAAUGUCUGGGAAACUGCCUGAUGGAGGGGGAUAACUACUGGAAACGGUAGCUAAUACCGCAUAACGUCGCAAGACCAAAGAGGGGGACCUUCGGGCCUCUUGCCAUCAGAUGUGCCCAGAUGGGAUUAGCUAGUAGGUGGGGUAACGGCUCACCUAGGCGACGAUCCCUAGCUGGUCUGAGAGGAUGACCAGCCACACUGGAACUGAGACACGGUCCAGACUCCUACGGGAGGCAGCAGUGGGGAAUAUCGCACAAUGGGCGCAAGCCUGAUGCAGCCAUGCCGCGUGUAUGAAGAAGGCCUUCGGGUUGUAAAGUACUUUCAGCGGGGAGGAAGGGAGUAAAGUUAAUACCUUUGCUCAUUGACGUUACCCGCAGAAGAAGCACCGGCUAACUCCGUG